UGCAAGUCUAAGUACGAGCUCUCGUACAGUGAAACUGCGAAUGGCUCAUUAAAUCAGUUAUGGUUCAUUUGAUCGUACAGUUUACUUGGAUAACUGUGGUAAUUCUAGAGCUAAUACAUGCGAGAAGCGCCGACCUCGCGGGAGGCGUGCAUUUAUCAGACCAAAAACCGGCCGCGUCUUCGGGCGCGUUCGCCUUGGUGACUCUGGAUAACUUUGCGGAUCGCACGGUCUAGCACCGGCGACGGAUCAUUCAAGUGUCUGCCCUAUCAACUUUCGUCGGUACGGUAUUUGCCUACCGAGGUUCUUACGGGUGACGGGGAAUCAGGGUUCGAUUCCGGAGAGGGAGCCUGAGAAACGGCUACCACAUCCAAGGAAGGCAGCAGGCGCGCAAAUUACCCAUUCCCGACGCGGGGAGGUAGUGACGAAAAAUAACAAUGCAGGACUCGUUCGAGGCCCUGUAAUUGGAAUGAGUACACUUUAAAAGCUUUAACGAGUAUCCAUUGGAGGGCAAGUCUGGUGCCAGCAGCCGCGGCAAUUCCAGCUCCCAAAAGUAUAUAUUUAAGUUGUUGCGGUUAAAAAGCUCGUAGUUGGAUUUUGGGCGCAGGCGGCCGGUCCGUCGCAAGGCGUGUACUGGACGUCCUGGCCUUCCCUCCGGUUCUCCGCCGGUGCUCUUGACUGAGUGUCGGCGGCGGCCGGAACGUUUACUUUGAAAAAAUUAGAGUGUUCAAAGCAGGCUCUCGAGCCUGGAUAAUGGUGCAUGGAAUAAUGGAAUAGGACCUCGGUUCUAUUUUGUUGGUUUUCGGAGCGCGAGGUAAUGAUUAAGAGGGACAGACGGGGGCAUUCGUACUGUGCCGUUAGAGGUGAAAUUCUUGGAUCGGCGCAAGACGAACGACUGCGAAAGCAUUUGCCAAGAAUGUUUUCUUUAAUCAAGAGCGAAAGUCAGAGGUUCGAAGACGAUCAGAUACCGUCCUAGUUCUGACUAUAAACGAUGCCAACUAGCGAUCGGGGGGCGUUACAUUGACGACCCCUCCGGCAGCUUACGGGAAACCAAAGUCUUUGGGUUCCGGGGGAAGUAUGGUUGCAAAGCUGAAACUUAAAGGAAUUGACGGAAGGGCACCACCAGGAGUGGAGCCUGCGGCUUAAUUUGACUCAACACGGGAAAUCUCACCCGGCCCGGACACAGUGAGGAUUGACAGAUUGAG
rnacentral:ncRNA from 1 species